ensembl:miRNA mdo-mir-1-2 mdo-mir-1-2
ACAUACUACUUUAUAUGCCCAUAUGAACGUGCUAAGCUAUGGAAUGUAAAGAAGUAUGUAU